rnacentral:rRNA from 1 species
GAUGAACGCUGGCGGCGUGCCUAAUACAUGCAAGUCGAGCGAACGGACGAGAAGCUUGCUUUUCUGAUGUUAGCGGCGGACGGGUGAGUAACACGUGGAUAACCUACCUAUAAGACUGGGAUAACUUCGGGAAACCGGAGCUAAUACCGGAUAAUAUUUUGAACCGCAUGGUUCAAAAGUGAAAGACGGUCUUGCUGUCACUUAUAGAUGGAUCCGCGCUGCAUUAGCUAGUUGGUAAGGUAACGGCUUACCAAGGCAACGAUGCAUAGCCGACCUGAGAGGGUGAUCGGCCACACUGGAGCUGAGACACGGUCCAGACUCCUACGGGAGGCAGCAGUAGGGAAUCUUCCGCAAUGGGCGAAAGCCUGACGGAGCAACGCCGCGUGAGUGAUGAAGGUCUUCGGAUCGUAAAACUCUGUUAUUAGGGAAGAACAUAUGUGUAAGUAACUGUGCACAUCUUGACGGUACCUAAUCAGAAAACCACGGCUAACUACGU